AACGAACGCUGGCGGCAUGCCUAACACAUGCAAGUCGAACGAGACCUUCGGGUCUAGUGGCGCACGGGUGCGUAACGCGUGGGAACCUGCCCUUAGGUUCGGAAUAACUCCCCGAAAGGGGUGCUAAUACCGGAUAAUGUCUUCGGACCAAAGAUUUAUCGCCUUUGGAUGGGCCCGCGUUGGAUUACCUAGUUGGUAGGGUAAAAGCCUACCAAGGCGACGAUCCAUAGCUGGUCUGAGAGGAUGAUCAGCCACACUGGGACUGAGACACGGCCCAGACUCCUACGGGAGGCAGCAGUGGGGAAUAUUGGACAAUGGGCGAAAGCCUGAUCCAGCAAUGCCGCGUGAGUGAUGAGGGCCUUAGGGUUGUAAAGCUCUUUUACCCGGGAUGAUAAUGACAGUACCGGGAGAAUAAGCUCCGGCUAACUCCGUG
rnacentral:rRNA from 1 species